AGUGAACGCUGGCGGUAGGCCUAACACAUGCAAGUCGAACGGCAGCACAGUAAGAGCUUGCUCUUACGGGUGGCGAGUGGCGGACGGGUGAGGAAUACAUCGGAAUCUACUUUUUCGUGGGGGAUAACGUAGGGAAACUUACGCUAAUACCGCAUACGACCUACGGGUGAAAGCAGGGGAUCUUCGGACCUUGCGCGAUUGAAUGAGCCGAUGUCGGAUUAGCUAGUUGGCGGGGUAAAGGCCCACCAAGGCGACGAUCCGUAGCUGGUCUGAGAGGAUGGUCAGCCACUCUGGAACUGAGACACGGUCCAGACUUCUAAGGGAGGCAGGAGUGGGGAAUAUUGGACAAUGGGCGCAAGCCUGAUCCAGCCAUACCGCGUGGGUGAAGAAGGCCUUCGGGUUGUAAAGCCCUUUUGUUGGGAAAGAAAAGCAGCAGGUUAAUACCCCGCUGUUCUGACGGUACACAAAGAAUAAGCACCGGAUAACUUCG
rnacentral:rRNA from 1 species